GAGAAGAGACGUCAGUUAUGAAGAGGU
rnacentral:piRNA from 1 species